rnacentral:misc_RNA from 1 species
GAAAUGCGAUAAGUAAUGUGAAUUGCAGAAUUCAGUGAAUCAUCGAAUCUUUGAACGCACAUUGCGCCCCCUGGUAUUCCGGGGGGCAUGCCUGUUCGAGCGUCAUUUCACCACUCAAGCCUCGCUUGGUAUUGGGCAACGCGGUCCGCCGCGUGCCUCAAAUCGACCGGCUGGGUCUUCUGUCCCCUAAGCGUUGUGGAAACUAUUCGCUAAAGGGUGCUCGGGAGGCUACGCCGUAAAACAACCCCAUUUCUAAGGUUGGCCUCGGAUCAGGUAGGGAUACCCGCUGAACUUAAGC